UCUGGCUGCUACCUCUGUCUGGAAUGUUCUUCUCAGGCCUCGCUCAUACCUCUUCAUCUGGUUAAUUCCUGUUCUGCCUUCAAUGUCAGCUUACUUCCUUAAGACAUCUCUUGAGAAAUGCUAAGCGGGAUGCUUGACACAGUUGGUCACUCCCAGGCUCCAAACGUCCUGACUUUCCAUCUCACACAGAAGAAAUUGGUCUACAAGAACAUUACUCUCACCUACUUCAGAGAAGAAAGCGGGUGCUUUUGGCUAAGGCACAUGGGGCAUGGCACCAUUAGCAGAUGUGGCCCUGUUGGAGUAGGUGUAUCAUUGUGGGCCUGGGUUUAAGACUCUCAUCCUAGCGGACU